AGAGCCCUAUGCCCUCCUCCAACCCUCAUUAUCUGGUUCCUUUUCUCGAGAUGUAUCUGUACAAAGAUGGUAAUAUUCCUAAUAUAGAUGCUAUGCCUUGCCCGCGAAUCCUUGCGACUCACCUACCUUAUCAAUUCCUUCCAAGCACCAUUUUGGAUUGUUCCAACCGUCGAAUCAUCUACCUUUGCCGAAACCCUUUGGAUGUAUUCACCUCUUGGCUGCACUUUGUGCUGCAAAAUGGUUUUGCAUCAAGGCCAUCGGCGUCUCUUGAUGUACCUUUUGAAACAUUUUGUCAGGGCAUAUACCCGUAUGGUCCACUCUGGGACCAUUGUUUGGGAUAUUGGAAUGCAAGCUUGAAGGACCCUCAAAAAGUGUUGUUUUUGAAGUAUAAUGAUAGCUGACUUCUUAGGUCAUCCAUUUUCAGCUGAGGAAGAGGAAGCAGGUUUGGUUGAAGAGAUAGCAACGCUUUGCAGCUUCGAAAAUCUUAAGAAUUUUAACUGUAACAAAGAGGGGGAGAUACAAACUGUUUUUAGAGCUAAGCAUAAUUCCUUUUUCAGGAAAGGAGAAGUCGGUGAUUGGGUGAGUUUGGUUCCUCCAUCCAUGGCGAAACGACUCGAAAAACUGAUGCAAGAAAAGUUGGGUGAAUCAGGGUUGACACUGGAUAUCCAUGGCAAUUCUGUCUGAAGAAGAUGAAUGUUGGAUAGGACGGAUCCAUGUUUCAACAGUUUUUCCUCAAAAAACAAAGAAAACAAAAUAAAAGGCCUAACUCAUUUACGUUCAAAUUCCUAACUUUUGGAUGUGUGAUCUCACUUAAUCCAAACAAGGAUGUUUGUUUACACCACCCAUUCGACUAAUUCUUAAUCAUUAAUUGUAUUGGUUCACUGCAGACUAAAACCCCCAAAAAAAAAAAAACUUAAUUCUUUUUUUUCCCCCUAAAGUGAGAAGGGUACUACUAUCGGCAAACAAAAAUUUGCGCACAAUUCUAUGAGCAAAAUCAUUAUUUGAUUGGUCCUCUCUCGAGGGUAGGAAUAGUGGCUCCCACUUCUUCUAGACUUUUUCAAUUUACGUAGAAUUCAAACACAAUUUACAAAACCAUCUCCAGACUAGAAACCCCCAACAAGACUUAAUGAGAAGAGUACUACCAGCAUACAAAAGUUUGAGCACAAUUCUAAGAGAAAAUCAUUAGCUCCAUUUGAAGAAGUAAGAAAAAGAGUUAAACGAGUCAAAGUGGGAGUGAAAUUUUUUAUUGUACUCUAAAUUGCUCAAUUCCUUAGUUUGGAAAAGGCAAUGCAAGUAAUCUCAAUUGGUCCACAAACUUUGCCAUGAGUUAAAAUUCUUCCCAAAUAACUGGUACAAUUUUGUAGCACCCACCAUGUAUUAACUUAUUACAACUACAAUAGAAAGUACAUGUUAGUUUUUUCAAAUUUGUACGUCUAGACAUUAUUAUAUUUUGAAUUUUUGUGCUGUUGGCCGAAUGUUGACUGUUAAUAGCCACCGACAUUGUAGCUGUCCCUGCCUCUUAUCCGUAAUGUGUCAGCUAGAAAUGUUGGAAAUGUUACAUGUGCACAGAUGUGUAUGGUAAACAUGGUGCAAAACAGAACAUUUCCAUCAAAUUUAAUGAAAGGUAAAGGAUACUAACGCACAGCAAUAAGCAACAAUAACUUAAAGAUCUUGAGGGUGGGAGCUUCAAUCUUGAUCUGUAUUAGGGCAUUUGUUUUAUAUUCUUAAUUUUGCAGUUAGAACUUUUGAGCUUGAAUUUCCAAAGGUGGCGGGAUGGCAGAGAGAAAUGCCCAGAUGAAAAAACAUGCAUAACAGUCUAGUGCUCAUCUUUACGAGAUACAUUUGCCAUGGAAUUCCAUCGUCAACCCUGAUUCACCGGAAUUUUCUUAGGCCAGAUCUUUAAGUUGGUUGGCCAUGGAAGGAGUAAAGUGCCAUUGACUGAAUCUUAAGUUCGCUGAACAGUGUCACUGAUUGGACCUAAUCGAAAUAAACUUGAAGAUUUAGGCUAUAAACUUUUUAAAAUUAAGAGUUUAAAGUACAAAGUAUCCGGAAUACAAAUUUAAGAUACAAAGUGAAAAAAUGAUAAAAGUUUAAGGGUAUAAAGAGAAAUUAGUCCAAUUAGGAUUAACCCUUAAGCAAGGACCAACGCUCAUCAGAUUAAUGACUUCCUUGGAUCUUGUUUCAUUUUCCUUGUCAUUUUACGCACCAAGCCUGGCAAAUUUUAGUAAAAGAAUUUUUUUAUAUGAAAUUCGUUUAAACCGUUUUAGUAUUUUGUUAAAUAAAUUUUUUCAUCCUUUAAUUUUUAAAUAAUAACUUUAUAUCUCUUGAAGUAUUGAAAGGUAGCCUCUAACUAGCAUCUAUUAUCGUUCCUCUAACUUCUAUGCCUUGCUACCUGAUACGGAUAGUACGGCGUAUAAUGAUAAUAAUAAUAACUACUCCUAUUAAUUUUUACUGCACCAAUUUUAAAAUUUUUUGUAAUGUAAAACUUUACAUCGAGAUGCACAUUAAAGACAUACAUUUUAUGAUCACCUGACUUGUGGUACCUCGCACAUUAAAGCACCUACUUUAUUAUCUGUAGCCAGCUAUGAUCCAAUGGAAUUAAUAUAGAAUCCUUUUCCACCAAUUAAAUAUCACAAGACUUCAAGUAUGGUUAGCCUCUCACUCUCAUCGACUGUGUGAUUGAUGCACACAGAUAUUUGACAUAUGAAAGAGGGGUCUCUCUUAGUAGUAAUAUUUAUUUUGUAACUUUUAUUGAUGAUUUUGUCAGAAAAAUUUUGUGUUUUGUUUUGAAAUCUAAAUAUCAGGUUUCAUAUAUGUUCAAAGAUUUUCGUAGCAAAGUUGAGAGGGGCACUAACAAUUUCUUGAGAUAUUUUUCCCUAUCAAUUGAUAGUUAUGUGAUAUUCAAUGAUGGAGCCAAGGGGGGCAGAGGGGGCCAUGGCCCCCCCUAAGUUUUGAGAAUUUUAAUUCAUAAUAUGUAAAUAUAUGUGUAAAAUAAAAUUGGCCCCCCCAAAUUUUUACAAUUUUAGUGAGAGUUGAUAUAUAUAUAUAUAUAUAUAUAUAUAUAUAUAUAUGAAUUAGUCAUCUUUGAAUGGAAUGGCUUGCAAGCUUUUAAUUUGACAUGAAUGUCCAUUUGCCUAUUACAUUCAUUGUUUGGCUCAUAGGUUUCAACUUGCUUUAUUUGCAGCUUCUAGAGAAGUAGCUUCUGUUCACCAAUUCUUCUCCAAUUUAGUUUUCAUUAUCAGCAUUGUUACUGCAUCUAGCAAACGUAAUGACGAAUUAAAGAAGGUUCAAGCAAUUGAAGUUGCUACUAAGAUUGCUAAUGGUGAACUUGAAACUGGAAGGGGGAUUAAUCAAAUUGGCACUUUAAAACGAGUUGGAGAUACUCGUUGGGGUUCUCAUUUGGAUUCUAUUUCUAGUUUACUGAAAAUGUUCAAUGCUACUUGUGUGGUUUUAAGUAACAUUGCAGUAGAUGAAAAUCCAUACUCUCAACGUUUGUUUUCACUUUGCAUCUUAUGAAAGACAUUAUGGAAGUUACUCAUCUUCUUUGUAUAGCAUUGCAACGUAAAUCUCAAGAUAUUUUGAAUGCAAUGCAUCUUGUCCCAAGCACAACAAAGCUACUGAAGAAUUUUCGAGAUUCGGGAUGGGAUGAUUUCUUGGUGAAAGUUAAAUUAUUUUGUAAGCAACAUCAAAUUGACAUCCCAUGUAUGAAUGCUCAAUAUAUUGCAAGAUGUGGUAGAUCUCGAAGUAAUCAUGAUGAGAUUAGUGUGGAGCAUUAUUAUCGAGUGGAUAUAUUUCUUGCAACAAUUAAUUAUCAAUUGCAAAAGUUACAUAGCAGGUUUAAUGAUUAUAUCGUGGAAUUGUUUGUUUUGAUUACUGCUUUAGAUCCUAGAAAUGGAUUUAUGCUAUUCAAGAUUGAUGAUAUUUGUAAACUUGCAGAGAAGUUCUAUCCGAAUGAUUUUAUAGAGUAAGAACUAGUACAUCUAAGAAUAGAACUUCAACAUUUUGAGCUCGACAUUCCAAAUCAUCCUGAAUUGCAAGAAUUAUAUUAAUGAGUUAUGUCAAGACUUGGUGAAGACAAGAAAAUUAGUGAUAUAUCCUUUUAUUAAUAGAUUGAUUAGACUUGUUCUUACUCUUUCUGUAUCAAUUACAACUACAGAGCGGGCAUUUUCAAUUAUGAAAAUAAUCAAGACAAAGCUCCAAAACAAUAUGGAAGAUAAUUUCUUCAAUGAUUGUCUAAUUGUGUAUAUAGAAAAGGAAGUUGCUGAAAAAUUUAGCAGUGAUUCAAUCAUAGAUGAAUUUAGUUCUAUGAAAGAGCGUAGAGCUCAAUUUACUUCUAAAAAAAGAUGUUGAAAUUUCAAAGUAUGUUAACAUAACUUUUAUCUUUUUUCAAUUGAAAAUAGUUACAUUUAUAUUACAUGGUUAUAUAUAUAUAUUGCAUAGGUGACAUAUUGGAGAGCAACUUCUUAUAAUGUGCAAAUUGGAUGGUUUGUGAUGUUAUAAAAUAUUUAAUCAAAGGUUAUCUUUUUUGUUAAUUUUUGUUAUGACUGUACCGCAUAUUUAUGAAUAGACGUACCUUUAUAAUUAAAUUUAAUAUUUGAUAUUUUUAGAUGUCAUAUAUUUAAAUAGAAGAAAAUUAUUUUGAACAUAAUAUAUUAAGAUAAUUUUAUUAGGAGAAAAUUUUGGCCCCCCUAAAAAAAAAUCCUGGCUCCGUCACUGGUGAUAUUAGCUCGUUAGGACUCCUAAGAAACAAAGGCGGAACAAGUUUACUAUUUUUUUUUUUAUUUUUUCAUAUAUCGAAUGCAAAAUCAAGGUGGAGAUGUGUUAGCAUUAAAUAACAUGCAAGUGGCUUUCCAUCCUCCGUGUCUUUUGGUCAGAUGCAAUGGGGUAAGAAGCUAAAUUUCUACCGUCCUACAGUCGUACUAGUAUGAAGGCCAAGUUUUGUUUUCCUUUGAAGUCGAAAAUCAGCAAUAAUCUUGGUUCAUAUACUGUACAAAUUUCAGUCGCAAUUUUGCCUAUAUAAAGAGGGACUUUCAAAAGCCUUGGAUUGCACCACACUACAUUGCUUAAACGUCGAGAGACAGAGAGCUCAGGGAGAUUUUUCCAUUUGUCUAAAUUUAUUUAUAUUUAUUUUUUGUAUUGCCUCUUUCCUGUUUUGGAAUUGGUCCUAAACUUUGAAUGCUUCUUUAUUGGAAUUUGCUCACCUCCUCCUGCCGUAGACAUAGAUUUAAUUGACUGAACCACGUAAAUUUUUAUGUCAUCAUCUUUUAUUAUUUUCUUCACAUUUUAUUAUAAUUCUCGUUAUUAUUUUUGUGGGUUAUCAAAUUAACUUUUCGUAACAAUCCAGGCUGGAUUCUAACACGUGAAAUGUCGAAUACCCGUAAAAUGAUAUCUUCAACUGAAGCGGAGCAAAAAGAUGAUCACUUUAAAGAGUUUUUCCAGAGGUUGCAACCAAAGAAGCUUGUAGAAGGGGAGCUGCUGGCUAAUUACCAAGGCAUUUGGUUUGUUGCAGAUUUACUUCGAGCUACACUAACCUUUCAAAAGCACUUCAAAGCCAAUGACUCUGACAUUUUUUUGGCCACCAUGGCAAAAUCAGGAACCACAUGGCUGAAAGCCCUCGCCUUCAGUAUUGUUAACCGUAACAAUCAUUCAGUUGAUGAGAGCCCUUUGCUCUUCUCCAACCCUCAUUAUCUGGUUCCUUUUCUCGAGAUGCAUCUGUACAAGGAUGGUAAUAUUCCUGAUAUAGAUGCUAUGCCUUGCCCGCGAAUCCUUGCGACUCACCUACCUUAUCAAUUGCUUCCAAGCACCAUUUUGGAUUGUUCCAACAGUCGAAUCAUCUACCUUUGCCGAAACCCUUUGGAUGUAUUCACCUCUACGCGGCACUUUGUGCUGCAAAAUGGUUUUGCAUCAAGGCCAUCGGCGUCUCUUGAUGUACCUUUUGAAACAUUUUGUCAGGGCAUAUACCCGUAUGGUCCAUUCUGGGACCAUUGUUUGGGAUAUUGGAAUGCAAGCUUGAAGGACCCUCAAAAAGUGUUGUUUUUGAAGUAUGAGGAUCUAAAAAAGGAUAUCAAUAGCUCCGUGAAGAAGAUAGCUGACUUCUUAGGAUAUCCACUUUCAGCUGAGGAAGAGGAAGCAGGUUUGGUUGAAGAGAUAGCAACGCUUUGUAGCUUCGAAAAUCUUAUGAAUUUGAACUGUAACAAAGAGGGGGAGAUACAAACUGUUUUUAGAGCUAAGCAUAAUUCCUUUUUCAGGAAAGGAGAAGUCGGUGAUUGGGUGAAUUUGGUUCCUCCAUCCAUGGCCAACCGACUCGAAAAACUGAUGCAAGAAAAGUUUGGUGAAUCAGGGUUGACACUGGAUAUCCAUGGCAAUUCUGUCUGAAGAAGAUGAAUGUUGGAUAGGACGGAUCCAAGUUUCAACAGUUUUUCCUCAAAAAACAAAGAAAACAAAAUAAAAGGCCUAAUUCAGUUACGUUCAAAUUGUUUGUUGCUUCAAUUACAAUCAUAAACCCAAGUUUGUAAUAAUUCAAUGUGUGUGUUUGUUGCUUAUUGUAAGACCGAAAUUAUCAGUUUUGGACAAUGUUAGUAUAUAUCUACGCACAUGCGAGUUUUUUUCAAGUAGUUAUUUACUAAAAUGGCUUGCCACCUUUUUUCCGGUUUGUAAUAUCUCAAAUUCCUGAUUUAAGGAAUUAAAUCAGAAAUUAAUUGAAUGUUUACAUAAUUGGAAUUAAUUACAAUUAAUUGACCUAAUUAUUACCUGAGCAACCAUUAUCACAUUUAUGCCCCAUGUUCAGCCGAUUACCCUAAACAACUAUCACCAUAGUUGUGCUUCCAUGUUCAGCCGAUAGCCUUUCUUCGUUUUUUGUUUCACCUCUUUGGUUUUAUUAUGGCUAUUAAAUAUUAUGGGAUUUAAUAAAAGAUUUAGACAUGUAGAGAUUAGAGUUUGAUAAGAAGAAUGGCAUUUCUUUCCAAGGACACGCGAAAAGAAAGGGAUAUACCAGCAACUUAUUGUUCAUAGCUUCAUAUUGCCCAACUUGCUGGCUUCUCGAACUAGAUAAUUAAUUUGUAGGAGAAGUUAUCAUAAAUGAAAAAAAAAAACAUUUACAUGUUCUUGUUGAAUGGCAGACUUGAUUAAGGUAGUUUUGUGAUCCAAAAGUUGCACGAAGCCGGUAAAAGCAUGGAUGAUCUUUCUUUUUGACCUUUCAAACAAAAAGCUGGUCCAUGAUAUGGUGACCCAAAUUCUUUUGGACGCUAGACAUAAUGAAAAGUUGAAAACAUCCACUUGGAGUUGCUCUGACUGGUGACAGUUGGUGUUCCACCCAAUAAAACAAUUAUCUCAAUCCACAUUCGAUACGAACAAAAAAGUAGACUAAUCAAAGGAAUUGAAAAAAAGGAUUAAAUUCUUCAUUAAAUUGUAGAUCGAAAGUUUGAAUCUCAUUUAUAGUGAAAAAAAAUUUAAAAAUGAGUUAGAACAUUUUUUUAAUUUAGUCAGGUCUGUAAAUUUGUUAAUUCAAUUUACAGUCUAAUAAAAUAGAUUAUGUUGUAUAAAUAGUAUCGUUCAAAAAAAAAAAAGAAUUAAAGAUGGGGGUGUUAAAUAAGUAGUGCUCCCUACUCCAUCCUAGUAAGAAAUUAAACUUGGCAUACAGGGGUAUUACAUUAAUUAGCAUUUGAUACCUUCCUAGGAAAAAGAGGCAAGCAUAUAUUCUCUUCACAUGCUUGUUUCUUGGUGGGAAACCUUUUUUUAGAAAAAAAUUUUAUUAAAUGUCAGAUGAAUGUGUAAAAUAUAAAAUUAAAUUGGUAUAAAUCAUUUUUUUUAAAAAAAUUGAAUGAUAAAUGGAGCGGGGUGGGUACCCGGUAACCCGACCUUAUCUCAGCGGAUACUCGAUUAUAGGGUACCCGCUGAUAUGCGGGGCGGGUAAGGGUCAGAAAACGGCUUACCCGCAAGGCGCGGGUCGGAUCAGCCAAAUGGUGAAUGGGUUGGAUACCCGACCCGCGUCCACCCCUAACUGCUACUGACGAACUUGAGCAAGAGAUGUUGUCAACUUCACCAUCACCACCACAAGAUGAGUCUAGAAGAUCUACCAGAAAGAGGAGACAUUCUAGUAGAUAUAAUCCUAAUGAGUAUGUGUUGCUAAUAUAUGGAGAGGAACCUGAGUUCUACAAUGAGGUUCUAGAGUACGAGAGAAAAGAAGAUUGGUUGGAAACUAUGCAAGAGGAGAUAAUGUCCUUACAUAAGAAUCACACCUAUGACCUGAUGAAAUUGGCUACGAGCAAGAGAGCACUAAAAAUGGAAUAGAUUUUUAAGUUGAGGACUCAAGAGCACAACUCACUACUAAAGUAGAAGGCAAGAUUGGUUGUGAACAAAUUCAGUAAGAAGGGUGAUUUGAAACGCGAUUGAGAUGAAAUUUUAUCAGUUUGCGCGUACAUUGCUUUUGUUUGGGAGGCAAGUUUUUUUGGCCUAUUUUUAAUACACAAAAUUUUUUUAUAACUUUGUCUCUAAUAACUUUCUAAAACACUCUACGAUUUUUCAAAAUAUACACCCCAAAAAGUCAAAAAUACACAAAGUUUUUUCUUUCUUUUCUCUUUUCUUCUUCUUCCUCCGUCGUUUCAACCCAUCAUUAUCGGCUGGCAUUCCGCAAGCACCCUUCUUCGCCCUCCCCCCCUCCCCCAACACCAUUUUUUUCUCUCACCCUAUCUCUUGUCCUUCCGCUUUUCCUUCCUUCUUUCUUCCUCCCUCACUCCUCCUCUCCUCUCCUUUCCCCCCUCCUUCUCUUCCCUCUCUCCCUCACCUCACCCCUAUUUCUCACAAAUUCAUAGAUGCUGUGAUUUUUGUCACAGACACAAUCUAAAUGUCUAAAGUUUUAAUAAAUCGAGAAAGUUUUCACCCUUUGAGAUUUUAAGGGAUAAUAUUAUCCAAAAUUUAAUGAUAAACUUAAGAUGAAAUUGAGAGAUUUAUUUAUAUUAGAAGGCUAUUAAUGAUUUGUAGACUUCUAUGACCCUUAAAAUUACAGUGUAUAUAAUAUUUUGAUACAUAAAUGUGCCCUAACUCUUAAUACCUCGGCCAAAUUACACAAACAAUGACGACACAGAUAACUUAAAAAUAAAGAUUUAAUAUAGAAUUUUAGUAUAUUUAAAAAACUUCAACUUAUCUCAGGUCAACUAAUUCGUUUCACAAUGACUUUUCUUCACUAACCAAAUGCCACGAGAAAUAUCCAUCUUUUAUCACAAGGAUAGUCUUUUGCAUAAUUGGAAUAUUGAAAAAUCACAUAAUUUUCAAACCAUCCUUAGCAUUAUUAUGGGAUCAUGUAAUUCUAAUGCUCGACUCAAACUCGAUUAAUAGAGCUGUGAAGCUAGUACCACCCAUUUGUUGGAAUUUUUUUGCUUUGGCACUAUUAUUAGUUAUCCAUAAAACUCUAUAAUGGUGUGUUCCAUAGCGAGAUAGACACAUCCUAGAUUACAAUUUUUUUAAUUUUGAUUAAAAGAUAUUUUCACGAGCACUUCAGGUUUUUUGCCUCUUUUUUCUGAGUUAUAGUCCGGCAAAUAGCUUCCAAAUUCGAUUAAUUUUCAUAUGGACUAACCAACGUAGUUCCUUUUCAUUUUUCUUGUUCCUUUUUUUUUUUUUGAGAGAAGAGGGGGGGGGGAGUGUUCGGAAGACCGGGCCAUAUUUAGACUGACACAUUAUAAAUGGUGUCCAGAUGUAUAGGUAGCUCAAUAAUUGACAAAGCAACUGAAUGCAAGUCACCUUCUCUUGUCUGCAACAAAGUCGGCAAUAAAUAAUCCUUAAAAAACAGUAAGGAUGAUUGACAAAAAAGAAACAAAAAAGUGGCUAUAAAUACUAAAUAUUGUAGCAGUAACAAGUUUAAUUUGAUUCAGAGUUUCAGAUGAUUGAGACAUAGGGAUGGUAAUGAGGCAGGUGGCUCUGUUUUUAAACUCGGUUCGGACCGGCUGAUCCGACUAGUUGAAUCGGGAAUGUGUCAAUUGUUCGGUCUGAGUUAAUCCUAAAAAUUGGACAAUAAAAAAUUCUGUCAAAUCAUGUCAAAAAUCGAGUUUGACUGGAAAAUAUAAACCAAGUCUCUUUUUUUUUUGAAAUGUCAAAAUAUUUUUAAUAUUAUGUUUUGACCCCUAAGUUAUUAAAAUUUUUUAAUAUACUUCAAAUAUUUCAUAUUUUAUAAAUGUUGUCUUAAAUUUUGGUGUUAUUUUUCAAUUAAAUCCAUAAUUUUAAUUCUAAAUUUGUUAAUGCUCAUUAAAUAAUAUAAAUUGCUACUUGAUUGAUCUAAUUUAUUUGUAUUUUUCUGUUAAAUAUAUUUGAGACAUCAAAUAUAUAUAAAUAUACCUUUAUUAAUAUUAACAUGUUAUUAGGUAUUUUACAUAUAAUAUUUUAAUUUUUAAAUAACUUUUAUUUAUGACAUCAUCCGAUUCAAUCCCGAUAGAAUCUGGUUGAACCUAUUAACCCCUAACCUCUGAACUCGAUCGAGUCGAUACUCGGUCUAGUUCUGAAAACAUAGGCUACAGGCACCCAUCUCACUGGGGGCUAAUGGAGCAGGGGGAUGGAGCGCCCCACUUAGAAAUGGGGGGGGGGGGGCGGGGACAUGCUCCCUCGCUCCGCCACCUCGCCCCGCCACCCACUAAAAAAAAUAAAUGUAUAAAUAAAUAUAUAUAUGUAUAUAAUCAUAUAUAUAAUAUUUAAUUUAAUUAGUUACAAACUUAUGAUGAUGAUAUUAUUAGUUAUAUGUAUUAUAUAAUGCAUAUUAGUAUAUAUAAUAUAAUUGAUAUUAUUAAUUAUACUAAUAAUUAUAUAUGUCUACUAAUAGAAAUUAUUAAUUAAUUAAUUAUACUAAAUUUACUAAUACAUUUAUACUAAAUUCUUAAUUACACUUAAUACAAUAAUACUUUUUUCUCAAAAAAAAAAUACACAAGUACAAUAAUGAAUUAGUGAUUGUAUUUGCGCUAAAAGUAAAAACUUGACUACUUUAGUUGUAUUUAUUCCAUUAUUGUAUUCAAAUAACUUUUGUUUGAUUGUUUUUAUAAGUUUAAAUUGUGAAAUUAUAAUAAAUAAUAACUUGAUGAUGUGUUAAUAUUUUAGUAUUUAUUUAUUUGCUAAAUUUUGACUAUAAUAAAUUUUUAUUAGUUUCGCAAAUGCCCUGCGAGAGAAGCAGGGCGGGGUGGGGAAGGGGCUUGGUGUGAUUUCCGAGAACGACAAAUAAAUUUAUUCUUAUUCUAGGAUUGAUCCAACCAUCAAUGUACAUAACAAUUGAGUUUUGCUAUAAAAUCAUUAAUCCAGAGUUCAAAAAAGUAACCAAACAUUGGAUUACGCUUUGCUUGCAACCUUACUCCAUUUCUUUCUUUUAUAAAAAGGUCCAACUUUAUUUCAUUUGAUUGUCCGUGAUCCCAAGAUUUUCAAAAAGUAGGAUUAUAUUUAGAAAUUCGAAGACGAAGCUGAUAUUGGUCUGUUUGGUUAGCCUGAUUUGUUUUAAAAAAAAAAGUCAAAUAUUAGUUAACUUGUACCAUAAACAUAAUUUUCAAUCACAUUUUUACCUUACACACGUCAUACUAUAAAAAGUGUUAUAGAGUGUUAUUCCAAAUAAUCUCUUAUCCAAACACAUUAUUUGUCGUGGGAUGAGGAAUGGAUGAGAUAAUUGAUAUUAUGAUUUUUUUAAAAAGUUAUUUUGACUUAAAUUUUGGUAACCGUAAGAUUAAAGUUAAACUUACGAAACAUAAAAUUAAUUUUUUUUUGUAUGUAAUUUUCAACCUCAAGCAUAAUACUCAAAAGAGACUAUAGCAUUUUUACAUGAAUGAUCCAAUAUGAGCCAAGCCUAACAUAAUAUAUAUUGCAUGGCAUUAAAUGCAAAGUUAGACAUCAAUUUAUCGUGAGCAGGGAGUAAGUUGGGAUCUACUAGAAUCUUUAUAUUGUAUAAGAUCAAGUUUCCGAAACCUUCACAAGUCCAGCUGGGUACCCUUUCCUUGACUAACUUUUAUGUAUAGAACUCAGGUAUGUAGAAAUUUAUCAGGAAUAGAGGUGUUUGAGGACACUUUCUGAUUUGAUUGUAUUUAUUGAUUGUCUGGUUUGUAAAGUCCUAGGAAGGCCUUGUUCCUUCAAUAGCAUGUUUUCUCUAUCCUGUCAUGAAAAGUAUGUACAGCCAUUUGCUAGCUAUGAUUUCUUGCAUAUCUCUGCUUCUUGUUGGUUUUCUAUUACUGUUUUGAGUGUGUGUAAAAUGAUAUCCGAUAAUUUACUAUUCGAGUUAGAGAUAAUAUUCAGUCAAAAAAUUCUUUGUUAGCUUUUGGCUCCAUGACUUUGUUAGGAAGACAUGUUAAGCCACUCCGUCAAAAGCUAGUAAUAUUUUUGUUUGGCCUUGAGUAGUUUGUUAAAAAGGUAUUGACCUCACUAAUACUUAACUAGCUAACUUCUAAGCUAAUUUGGGAUAUUGUCCUUGUUAUGUUAAUUUUCUGCCUUAUUUGUUCUCGUCUUGAUUAAGAUUCUAAUCGUGAUUGAGUUUUGUUGUAGGUAAAUAUAAGAGAGUUUAUUUUUUUGCUCAAGCUACUUGUUACCUACUAAUUAUUAUACUACUUUAUGCAGACUUGUAUUGCUUGUUCAAACUCUUUUGGCCUCUAAUCCACAGCUACUAAUUGAUUGAAGAACAAUGAAGACAAAGUUGUGUUUUGCUCUUGAAGUGUUUCGGCAGUAGCUGCUAGCUAAGUUUAGGACUUAGAUUUAUUUUUGUAAAGCUGUAGCAGGAUGUUGAACUUAAGUAUGAUAUUUUGGCAUUUCGAAUGUAAUGGAUGUCUUCUGUUUUUAAUUAACAGGCUUUGUUGUUAUUUUUCUCAAUUCGUAAAUUGAAUUGUUGGAUUGAUUAAUUCCAGUAUAAUUUUCUUUAUCAAACUACACGGUUACAGUAUAUUGUCACUAAUUAGACUUCUCCACUGACAAUGAAAUGUUGUCACUAAUUAGUAUCUCUAAACUUAAAGCCUACAGUGAUGACAAAAAGUUGUCAAUAUCACGUCUAUUUUAGUGACAAGCGUGAACCAAAGUUGUUAGUAAUUAGUCAAUACAAGCAACAAUCAUCAAGAAGUUUCAGUGACAAUGUUACUGGGGCCAUCAAGGGGCCAUCAAGAAGUUUCGUUCUUCUAGCUUCUAUGCCUCGCUACCUAAUACGGAUAGUACGGCAUAUAAUAAUAAUAAAAACAAUAAUAAUAAUAACUACUACUAUUACUCCGUCCGUCCCACUAUGAUAGUCAUGUUUUUCUUUUUUGUCUGUCCCAACUUGUAGUUCACUUUUCAAUUGAAGAAUGUAGUUGUCUUUUAAUUUCUCUAAAAUACCCUUAUUUAAUGUAAGUUGUCAUUACUAUGAACUAUUUUAUUUAAUAUAGAUUGUUAGUAUUGAAUAUAACCUAUCCCAUUUAAUGCAUUUAGAUUUUCCAAAACAUAUUGAUAUAUGAAAAGCCAACUUUAUUUAAUGUAAGGGUAUUUUAGGAAAAUAGCAAUCUAAAUUUGUUUUUCAACAAAGUUAACUACUUUUUCUUAAACUGUGUGAAAAAAAAAUUAGAACAAUCAAAAUGAGACAGAGAGAGUAAUUUUUACUGUACCAAUUUUAAAAUUUUUUGUAAGGUAGAACUUUACAUCGGGGUGCACUUGAAAGAGAUACACAUUAUGACUACCUAACUUGGGGUACCUCGCACAUUAAAGCACCUACUCUAUUAUCGAAUGGAACUAAUAUAGAAUCCUUUUCCACCAAUUAAAUAUGACAAGACUUCAAGUAUGGUUAUCCUCUCACUCUCGACUGUAUGAUUGAUGAUUACGUGGCAAACUUUUGAGUAACAAUAUGAAUGACACAAUUCACAGUUGAGUUGAUCUGUCCUAACUUGGAUGUCUAGAUAGUAAUAUAUUAAAGGACAGUUGAUCAUCUUUAUAUAAACUUCAGCAUUUCAUUACUAAUUGGUGCAGCACAUAAGUAUUGGCUCAGAAUUUGCAGGUAUCAAUCCAAAAAAAAAAACACACACACACAUAGAGAUUUUCGUUCAAGUAAUCCAGGAGAUGUCAUCUUCAACUGAAGUGGAGCAAAAAGAUGAUCACUUUGAAGAGUUUUUCCAAAGGUUGCAACCAAAGAAGCCGAUAGAAGGGGGCUUGCUGGCUAAUUACCAAGGGGUUUGGUUUGAUGCAGAUUUACUUCAAGCUACAUUAACCUUUCAAAAGAAUUUCAAAGCCAAUGAGUCUGACAUUAUUUUGGCCACCAUGCCGAAAUCAGGCACCACAUGGCUUAAAGCCCUCACCAUCAGUAUUGUUAACCGCAACAAUCAUUCAGUUGAUGAGAGCCCUUUGCUCUUCUCCAACCCUCAUUAUCUGGUUCCUUUUCUCGAGAUGUAUCUGUAGAAAGAUGGUAAUAUUCCAGAUAUAGAUGCUAUGCCUUGCCCGCGAAUCCUUGCAACUCACCUACCUUAUCAAUUCCUUCCAAGCACCAUUUUGGAUUGUUCCAACUGUCGAAUCAUCUACCUUUGCCGAAACCCUUUGGAUGUAUUCACCUCUACGCUGCACUUUGUGCUGCAAAAUCGUUUUGCAUCAAGGCCAUUGGCGUCUCUUGAUGUACCUUUUGAAGAGUUUUGUCAGGGCAUAUACCCUUAUGGUCCAUUCUGGGACCAUUGUUUGGGAUAUUGGAAUGCAAGCUUGAAGAACCCUCAAAAAGUGUUGUUUUUGAAGUAUGAGGAUUUUAAAAAAAAAGUAUCACUAGCUCCGUGAAGAAGAUAGCUAACUUUUUAGGUCAUCCAUUUUCAGCUGAGGAAGGGGAAGCAGGUUUGGUUGAAGAGAUAGCAACGCUUUGUAGCUUCGAAAAUCUUAAGAAUUUGAACUGUAACAAAGAGGGGGAGAUACAAACUGUUUUUAGAGCUAAGCAUAAUUCCUUUUUCAGGAAAGUGCCAUUGACUGAAUCUUAAAUUCACCAAACAUUGUUACUGAAUGGACCUAAAUGAAAUAAACUUGACGAUUUAGGCCAUAAACUUUUUAAAA
rnacentral:lncRNA from 1 species